CUACAAUGAUGAGCUUGCACUUCAAGGUCCGUGUUUCUGAAAGGAAUAACUUCUUGCUGAAGUUCUGAGGUC